GUGUAACAUCCCGAAAUUAUAAGACUUUAUAAUAAUAUAUAGUUUAAAUAAACGAGAAGUUACUUAUCUAGAAAUGUAGUAACUUGGUUAACUAACAUGUCUAAAAUUAGCCUACAAUGGGGUUAAAAUAAUAAAAAUGGUUAUGUUAAUAAGUAGAGGGGCCAAUAUUGUCAAAAUGAAACUCAAUUUACUAGUUAGUAACAAAUAAAAAAAAGAAAAAUAAAACAAACACCCCCAAAAGCUAUACUCUGGUCGACCAGAGGAACCCCAGGGGCGACACCCACCAUUCCAAACCCUAGUUCACAAGAAAUCCUACAAAUUGAAGGCUUUAAUCAGUUAGAAAUCGAAAUCCAAGCAUAGAAUCGUGAUCACCUUGUCAAGGGGAUCCUAAGGUAUGUCAAUUUAGGUCAUUUUGAUACAACUUGAAUCCUUACAUAUGAAUGAAAAUUUAUGUUUAGUUUAAAUUGGUGGUAGAAAUUGUGAAAUUGGGAGUAAUAUGAAGUUUUGGGGCAAACCCUAGAUAAAUUCUUGUCCAACCUUUGCAUGAUGAUGAUAUGGGUUUAAAAUCACUAUGGUGGGUGAUUACAAGUUAGAUGAACUUGGUAAACACUAGGGUUUAGAUUGUUGCCUAGUGUAAUUUGAGAUUUUGAAAUAGUCUCUAGGAUUGUUAUGCUAAUAAUAUGUGUAUGCUAUAAGAAUUGGGUUAAUUGGAAUGAUGAACUCAAGUUAUGAAAUUAAAUUAGAUCAUGUAGAAAGUCGACCCGCUAGGUGUUCGAUGAAACGCCUAAAUUAGGGUCAAAAUGUUAAGGGUUUGAUAAAACGCAGAUUUGAAAUGUGUUAAUUAAAUGAUGCAUUAAAGCUUAAGAAAGAGCUCUAAACGUGUUGUAAAUUGAACUCUUUAGGCAAGGAAUCCGGGACGUCAAGCGGACACGCCGGAGGAGACAUACGCGGAAAGGGAGUGCUUUAAAGGUGACUUGGAACUAAUCGGAAGAUGGUCGAGCUAGCUUUGGAUGAACCGAACACUAUCUACAAGCUUCCGCUUUAGUUUAACUUCAAUGGUUUUUGUUUUAGACAAAUGUAGACAAUUAACAAUUCAGUUUUCGAAUGUUUUAAUCUAGUACUAGUUUCGCUAAACGUUUGUUACGUAUGAAAUCCAUUAUAUUUUAA
rnacentral:lncRNA from 1 species